UACGGAGGGGGCUAGCGUUGUUCGGAAUUACUGGGCGUAAAGCGCGCGUAGGCGGCUUUGUAAGUUAGAGGUGAAAGCCCGGAGCUCAACUCCGGAACUGCCUUUAAGACUGCAUCGCUAGAAUCAUGGAGAGGUGAGUGGAAUUCCGAGUGUAGAGGUGAAAUUCGUAGAUAUUCGGAAGAACACCAGUGGCGAAGGCGGCGAUCUGGGUAGAUACUGACGCUGAGGUGCGAAAGCGUGGGGAGCAAACAGG
rnacentral:rRNA from 1 species